UACGUAGGGAGCGAGCGUUGUCCGGAUUUAUUGGGCGUAAAGCGAGCGCAGGUGGUUUAUUAAGUCUGGUGUAAAAGGCAGUGGCUCAACCAUUGUAUGCAUUGGAAACUGGUAGACUUGAGUGCAGGAGAGGAGAGUGGAAUUCCAUGUGUAGCGGUGAAAUGCGUAGAUAUAUGGAGGAACACCGGUGGCGAAAGCGGCUCUCUGGCCUGUAACUGACACUGAGGCUCGAAAGCGUGGGGAGCAAACAGG
rnacentral:rRNA from 1 species